AGAACUGGUCGCAGAAGACUUUCGGACGCGGGUUCGAUUCCCGCCGGCUCCACCA
rnacentral:tmRNA from 1 species